CGCACGGGUGCGUAACGCGUAUGCAACCUACCUUUAACUGGAGGAUAGCCCCGAGAAAUCGGGAUUAAUACUCCAUAGUAUUCCCAAGUGGCAUCACUCAGGAAUUAAAGCUCCGGCGGUUAAAGAUGGGCAUGCGUGACAUUAGUUUGUUGGUGAGGUAACGGCUCACCAAGACUACGAUGUCUAGGGGUUCUGAGAGGAUGAUCCCCCACACUGGUACUGAGACACGGACCAG
rnacentral:rRNA from 1 species